UCUCUCUCUCUCUCUCUCAGCAAUCUGCAUAUGUGGGAAUUUCUCAUAGCAGGACAUGCAGACGGAUGUGUCAUCAUCUUUCCUCAUCACAUUUAAGUCCUGAGCCGGGAUCAGAUAAACGUGCUUUAGUUUAGUCCAAGACAUCAGAGAAGGUGGAAGAGUUCAGAACUAUGAAGACCGCAGUCUGGUUGUUGUGCCUUAUCGGCCUGACCGUGGCUGUCCAACCUGAAACUGAUCACGAUGGUGAGACUCGCUCACUCUUCUCCAACUCUAAGCAACUGACCCACGAUCAGAUCUGUCAGCUCCUGCCGAACCUUCUCUCGGCUCUCGGACCUGCUCCGGCUCCGGCAUCUUUGACUCCGUCUGCUCCUGAUACUGGGAGAUAACCUGUGCUUUCUCUUGCCCUGGAUUUGUUCAGAAAACCUCAGCUUUUAGCUCAGAGUCGAGAAAAUGGGGUUUACGUUGUGUUUUGUGUAAUCUACAUUUAAAUUAAGGGCAGUUCAGAACACUUAUUCAUCGAAACCUGCCCUGAUAUCAGAUCCAAUCUCAUGUGUGUGUUCUUGAUCACUGGCUGGGAAAACGGUGCUUUAAUAAAACAUCUGUAAUAAUUCUGACUCGGCGUGUGUUUGUAA